rnacentral:rRNA from 1 species
UGAGUAACACGUAUCUAACCUGCCCCUGGGUAGGGAAUAGCCCGGUGAAAACCGGAUUAAUGCCCUAUGGUCUCCUUUGAUGGCAUCUGAGGAGGAGUAAAGAUUGAUCGCCGAGGGAUGGGGAUGCGGCUGAUUAGGAAGCCGGCGGGGUAACGGCCCACCGGUCCUUCGAUCAGUAGGGGUUCUGAGAGGAAGGUCCCCCACACUGGUACUGAGACACGGACCAGACUCCUACGGGAGGCAGCAGUGAGGAAUAUUGGUCAAUGGCCGUGAGGCUGAACCAGCCAAGUAGCGUGCAGGAUGACGGCCCUAUGGGUUGUAAACUGCUUUUAUGCGGGGAUAAAGUGUGCCACUUGUGGCAUUUUGCAGGUACCGCAUGAAUAAGGACCGGCUAAUUCCGUGCC